GCCAGUUAAACUUUUCUUCGAAAAUUGCCAAUGAAUUCAUAGGAGGAAACGUGAAAAGGUCGUGCAGCCUACCGUCAACUAUUUUGUUCAAAUAACUCAUUGUAUUCUACUGAAUGUGCCAUCAAAAUGAUACAGAUCACCAACCCCAGCAUGGACCAAUCUCUCAUUCCAUCUUCUAGAGAACCUUGGAUAACUGAUUGGUGGUUUUUAUGUGUUCUAAACUAUAGUUUUCUAAAUUGGCAUGACAGACUUAUUUAAGAGAAAUCAUGUCCUUUCAAGAAAAAGGACAAGGACUAUACAAUCAACAAGAUUCCUUGUUUUCUAACCGUUGGCUGCUACCCUUGAAUCUCCCUGUUUGUCAACAACAAAAACAGAGAUAUGGCCCAUGACACCAAAUGUCUGGUUGUCCCUCUAAAAUAAGGCAAUGGCCACACGUUCAACGCGGAUCAUUCGUUUUGUCAUCGAACUUGACUCGUUCCAUCUUCUGGAUUGCUUAGGAAACCGUUACCUGUGUUAUGACCGAGAAGAUGCGGCCUACAUGAACAUCAUUUAGGCGGCCAGCAUCAUUCGACUAACCAACCGGCUUCUGCUACCCUGCUCUUAACACAGCACGGAGUUUUACCCUUUAGAUUUUUGGCUGUUCGCGAUGUAUGAUGGCGUUUCCUUGGACGAGAUGAUGAUUUUGGCGAGAAAAAUAUUGCGUUGUAACCUUCAGGUUCCUAAAUUUGCAUGACAGUGUUUAUGAAAAGUAAUGUUCUUUCAAGAAAGUCAACAAGGUCCCUUGUUUGCUAACCCAAUGAAUGCUACCCUUGAAUCUCCCUAUUUAGCUCCUUAUUACACAGCCCCUCUUGAUUUGAGGGUAAUCCUUCGCUACUGAUCAUGGACUCCAUUGGUGAAACUGAAAACCGAAGAGAGAAUGCUGUAAUCCAAGACUGAUAAACUGUGUAGUCAGAUUCUAUUACAAGUGCAUAACUGGGCUCCCUUCUUUUCUGUGGCCCCGUUUCCCUAACUAACCACUAACCAACGCCCGCCGGUGGUCACUCACCCGCUGUGAA